GCUCAUUUCUUCUAUUCUUCUCUCUAUACGUUGGUGUUCUAACCAAUAAUCACCGAUGCGAUAUUAUGUCCGAUCGAUUCGGGAACCAACUAACGAAUGCCAAAGUGUUGUCUAAAUAAGACUAUACUUUGUGAAUUUCGUUAAGGUUCUGAUCUCGUGACCAUCGUUAGGUUUGAUUGGGUUUAACACUAAUACGUAUUCCAUUCUGUUAAACUAAAUGUUUAACUACCAGAAAGCUCUGCACUAUACACUUACAAUCAAAAUAGAUGUAUAAUCAUCAGAAGACUUAGAAUCAAGAUGCUUGUUUAAUCAAGACUAUAUGCUAACAAGUAUGUGGGGGUUUUGUGCACAUUACUACUAAUGAUUUAUCACGUUAGGUGGGCGAGCCUAAUUUAGUGAUAUGUCCACGGUCAUAGAUGCGGUCGAGUGACAACUGAACCAGCUAAUUAAUAGAGAGAGGCAAAUAUAAAAACUCUUAAUGCUGUGAAUUAUAACAAAUGUGUUUUUGUACAAAAUGAAUGAACUCACCAGUAUUUCCUGCUGACCAAAAUGUUUUAAAACGCGUUUCAGGUAAUUACAGUAGAUUGGAACAAGAGUGGCGAGACGGCACCGAAAGGCUUAAAGAAGUGGCUUAUUUUAUCAAAUAAAUUAAUUAAAUUAAACAUUGUUUUACAUAUUCGGGUCUAUCCCGUAUUAAAGCUACCUUUCAAAACAUGAUUUUAUCCCAUCUAUUUAAUAAAUAAAAUCCGGUGUUUUCUAACUCUGAUAUUUUUCCUAACUCACGGUCCUGAUGAAAUCUCCGCUGCAAUAUUUUCAAAAUAACUGCCGGUACCACUUGACUGCUUCACGGCUCCCGUCCAGGGUGUGGUCGGGGGUCGUGACAAGUGUUGAUCCUAAAAACCUAGAUUAACUAAAUACUAACAAAAAUUAUUGUUUUCAUCGAGUUUGAAAGUUUUAAUUGAUUAUGAUUGAGAAAGUUAUCAAAUUUAAAGAAAAGCAAUCCCCUCUGGAUUUUCGGUUCAAUAUUUCACCCAAACUUGUUUCAUUAGAUAGAUACCAAAAGGCCUUGUUAAUGGUUUAAUUCGAGUGAUAACCAAAGAUGAGUUUUUAAGGACAACCUAUGCAGUUCAAUUACCGAAUCGUAAGUUCCAAUAAUCCUCCUAAUAACCAAACUACUCAUGAUGCAAGAAAACCGAAUGCGAAUGGUAAAAGAUGAAUAAUUGCAAAACACACAAUUAUUUUAAACAAAAUAAACCACGCGCUAGCGCCCAACCGGGCUUUGAAGGGACAGGGAAAGAGAAGAAAAGAAAGAGGGUCACUCCUUUUAGGAGCAUGGCUCGUUCAUUCACUUGCUCAUGAACUCACAGCUUCGCCAGAAGCUACAAAGGGGGGCCUCGCCCCGGGA
rnacentral:lncRNA from 1 species